rnacentral:lncRNA from 1 species
AUGACAGAGGGGCCCCAAAUCCCACUUCUCUCUGUCACCACCAAGGUAAAAUCCCCUGAGGAGCACCUCUUUGAACCUCUACUCCCCCAAGAGAAGCCCAAAGCUGAAUCCCCCACGGAUCAGAAAGCUGCAUACUCUCCCAUCCGAUCACAGCCAGUGGCUCUACCGGAAGCCAGGACACCUACCUCACCAAUCAGCUCACACCUCGUGUCACCCAUAGCCCCCUCUGUACCCGCUUCCACUCAGCUCCCCAUUUGCUCCCAGCCUCAGCCUUCCUCUGAGACCACCAUCCCAUCGCCCACUGAGUCCCCCAUUCGCUUCCAACCCGUUCCAGCAAAAACAUCCACCCCCCUGGCUCCCCUCCCCAUGAAGAGCCAAGGUGACCCCACGGACAAGCUGGGCAGCCCCCUUGUAGUGGAUGAAGCUCUGAAACGGAGCGACCUGGUGGAGGAGUUCUGGAUGAAGAGCGCCGAGAUCCGCCGCAGCCUGGGGCUCACUCCUCUGCAGCGGAACAAGGGGCCCGAGCCCAGCUUCCCUUCGCCUGCCAUCAAACCAUUGUCCCUAAAAUCCUACUCAGUUGAGAAGUCCCCUCAGGACGAGGGGCUCCGUCUUCUGAAACCUCCACCUGUUCCCAAAAGGCUGGGCCUGCCAAAGUCGGACGGUGAGCAGCUCUCCCUGCCGACUCCCAAGUCACCGCCUGACAGAGAACUGAGAAGCUCCCAAGAGGAGCGCAGGGACCUAUCCAGCAGCUCUGGCCUGGGCCUCCACGGCAGCUCCUCCAACAUGAAGACCUUGGGCAGCCAGAGUUUCAACACCUCAGACUCCACCAUGCUCACGCCACCCUCCAGGCCUCUGUCAUCCCACCUCCCCCACCCACCUUCCUGCGGCCCCCUCGAGAGCCUGCCCAGCCCCCCAGGGAGGAGGUGCGGAAGUCGUUCGUGGAGAGCGUAGAUGAAAUCCCCUAUGCUGACGACGUGGAGGACACGUACGAUGACAAGACGGAGGACUCGAGUCUGCAGGACAAGUUCUUCACACCCCCCUCCCGCUGGUCCUGCCCGGAGAG